rfam:Triticum aestivum genome assembly, contig: Triticum_aestivum_CS42_TGACv1_scaffold_321787_4BL
CAUGUCUCCCUCCGUCCCAAAAUUCUUGUCUUACAUUUGUCUAGAUACAGAUGUAUCUAAUACUAAAACGUAACUAGAUAAAUUCGUAUUUAGACAAAUCUAAGACAAGAAAUUUGAGACGAAGGGAGUACUUU